rnacentral:rRNA from 1 species
GAGUAACACGUAUCCAACCUGCCGUCUACUCUUGGACAGCCUUCUGAAAGGAAGAUUAAUACAAGAUGGCAUCAUGAGUCCGCAUGUUCACAUGAUUAAAGGUAUUCCGGUAGACGGUGGGGAUGCGUUCCAUUAGAUAGUGGGCGGGGUAACGGCCCACCUAGUCUUCGAUGGAUAGGGGUUCUGAGAGGAAGGUCCCCCACAUUGGAACUGAGACACGGUCCAAACUCCUACGGGAGGCAGCAGUGAGGAAUAUUGGUCAAUGGGCGAGAGCCUGAACCAGCCAAGUAGCGUGAAGGAUGACUGCCCUAUGGGUUGUAAACUUCUUUUAUAAAGGAAUAAAGUCGGGUAUGGAUACCCGUUUGCAUGUACUUUAUGAAUAAGGAUCGGCUAACUCCGUGCCAGCAGCCGCGGUAAUACGGAGGAUCCGAGCGUUAUCCGGAUUUAUUGGGUUUAAAGGGAGCGUAGAUGGAUGUUUAAGUCAGUUGUGAAAGUUUGCGGCUCAACCGUAAAAUUGCAGUUGAUACUGGAUAUCUUGAGUGCAGUUGAGGCAGGCGGAAUUCGUGGUGUAGCGGUGAAAUGCUUAGAUAUCACGAAGAACUCCGAUUGCGAAGGCAGCCUGCUAAGCUGC